AACGAACGCUGGCGGCGUGCCUAACACAUGCAAGUCGGACGAGAAAGUUUCCUUCGGGAAGCGAGUAAAGUGGCGCACGGGUGAGUAACACGUAGACAACCUGCCUUCCAGUCCGGGACAACCUUUCGAAAGAAGGGCUAAUACCGGAUAACACUUUGGGCCGCAUGGCCCGGGUUGAAGAAUUCAUCGCUGGAAGAGGGGUCGUGCGGGACGAUUAGCUCGUU
rnacentral:rRNA from 1 species